GCUUACGGCCAUACCAGCCUGAAUACGCCCGAUCUCGUCUGAUCUCGGAAGCUAAGCAGGGUCGGGCCUGGUUAGUACUUGGAUGGGAGACCGCCUGGGAAUACCAGGUGCUGUAAGCA
ensembl:rRNA 5S_rRNA 5S ribosomal RNA